rnacentral:rRNA from 1 species
UACGGAGGAUCCGAGCGUUAUCCGGAUUUAUUGGGUUUAAAGGGUGCGUAGGCGGUUUGAUAAGUUAGAGGUGAAAUGUCGGGGCUCAACCCCGAAACUGCCUCUAAUACUGUUGGACUAGAGAAUAGUUGCGGUAGGCGGAAUGUAUGGUGUAGCGGUGAAAUGCUUAGAGAUCAUACAGAACACCGAUUGCGAAGGCAGCUUACCAAACUAUAUCUAACGUUGAGGCACGAAAGCGUGGGUAGCAAACAGG